rnacentral:rRNA from 1 species
UACGUAGGGUGCGAGCGUUGUCCGGAAUUAUUGGGCGUAAAGAGCUUGUAGGCGGUUUGUCGCGUCUGCCGUGAAAAUCCGGGGCUCAACCCCGGACUUGCGGUGGGUACGGGCAGACUAGAGUGUGGUAGGGGGAGACUGGAAUUCCUGGUGUAGCGGUGAAAAUGCGCAGAUAUCAGGAGGAACACCGGUGGCGAAGGCGGGUCUCUGGGCCGAUACUGACGCUGAGGAGCGAAAAGCGUGGGGGGAGCGAAACAGG